AGGUGUGAUCAUACGAGCACUAAUGCACUGAAUCACAUGAGACCUCUGUAGUUAAUCGUGCUUGGAAGAGAGUAGUACUUGGAUGGGUGACCUCAUCAGAAGUCCUCGUGUUGCAACUC
rnacentral:rRNA from 2 species